CUGACAAAUACUCCAGUACCGUCAAGGUCAUCAAAACAAGGAAAGUCCAAGAAACUGUCACAACCGAGAGAACCCCAAGGAGACGUAAUGAUGAAAUGUGGUGUGGAAUCUGGAUGGGAUCCUGGAACAGAAAAAAGAAAACCAUGAAGUUAAAAACUAAGGAAGUCUGAAUUAACAUUAGUUCCUAACAGGGAUGGGCUGCUGAGUAGCCAAUGCCUCCGCCAGAAGCAAUGCUGAAUGAGCACCUCCCCACGUUUUGGACAGAGAGUGUCUCUGAGCUGCAUACCAAGGAGUGGCAUUGGAUUGCUGCGUCAUGGGCAGAAGAUUUACACAGUCAACUCGAACCAGUACCGUCAGACGGCUCUCCGGAGUGGCUGCACCUUCUCACACUCCUUUGCAGAGAAUGAGGGUUCAUCUUUCCCCCACACUCCAGCCAACACUUGGCAUUACCUGACUUUCUAAUUUUUGCAAAUCUGAUGAGUGUACAGAAACAGAUGUGGAAAAAGCCAAGCCUUUAGGAACAUCUGCGGAGACACCCAGGCUGAGGAAACUGUGACCCCUUCUGACUAUUGAGUUUCAUCCAAAGACCUCAGUUCUCUGGCCAGAGUAUUUGCAUCAAAGUCAGCAAGUUAUUCUAGCUAUUUAGGAGAAUUUGCUAAAUCCCUGAAGAUUUGGACACAUAGAAUGAAGAGAGAGAUGCUAUUUUUUAGACGUGGGCUGCAGUUGGAGCUGGCUUGCCCAGAAGUGCAGAAUUCCCAGUGCUUCCCAGGGAGCAUGCAUUACUCUUGGAAAUACCUGGAUACAUAGGCAAGGUAUAGGAAAAAAAGAGUUGAAUUCUUCCAAUUAAGAAAGAAACUGCAAUCUGGAACUUGAUCAGCAGCUGCAUGCUGACUGCUAGAGGAAGAAGGGUUUGUUUCUGUUUUUGUUUCUUUGUUUUAUUGGGGAGGGGACAAAGUGAUUUCUGAAAGAGAGUGAGAGGUUCCAGAAGUAAAAAGGAGGCAGAGGGAAUUGGAGGAGGAAAUGAGCCAGUGAUAAAUUCUGCCUAGCAGGAAUUCCCUGCCCAGCUGAGGACUUCAGUGUAGAAUCAUUUACUUUGGAGAUAACACCUCUUGUUAACUGCAGACCUGCAGGAAACAUCUGCUAAACUUGACAGCUGUGUGCUGCUGAUGGUCAUUGAAAGACCAGCAUUAAGUUGACAGGCAGAAAGAAAAAGAUAGUCCCAGGGGGAAGAAAGGAAUGAGAUGGAGUGCUCAGUGUGAACAGGAAAUCAGAGCCAGGGAUGACCAGUAAAAUACAAGCCCUGCGGGAAUCUAGAAACAUCUUGGAAAGGGCCCAAGGCUUUUCCAUAACAUGCGGACUGGGCGUCUCUCGGGAAGGACCCCAGACUGGCAAACUUGGGAAUAUGCAAACUGAAGGUAUCUGGGUUACACAUGAGUGGAUGGAUGCACACACACGCACAUGUGCACACACACGCCCACACACACAUGUGCACACACACACAUGCCCGCACACACAGGCACACCCCCCAGGUCCCCUAGGGUAGUAGUCCUCAACCUUGGCUGCACAUUUGAAUUGCCUGGGGACUUUUAAAAAAUGCCAGAGCCUACCCUCACCCCAAUGCCACCAACCCAAUGACAUCAGAAUCUGUGGGAAUCAGACCCACACAUCAGGUUUUCAAAGUUCCCAGGGCCAGGCAGCACUGUUCUACAGCCUGACAGCUCCAGCUGCCUAGAGAGCAAAGGCCAGCUGCAGUCUCCUGCAACCAGACUCACCUGAGCUCUCGUGUCCUUCCAUCACCCACUGUCCCCAGGUCUUCUCCCUUCCUUUCUCACCACCUCCCCUAUCCCCUUCCCAACAGGCACCCAGUGGAAUUUAAACCUGAGAGAAACCACAAAUAAUUUUGUUUAAUAUAAGUAUGAGCUGUGUACAUUCGUAUCUACCACGCCGUAUACUCAUACUAAAAGUUAUUUGUGAUUUCUCUAAAAUUCAAAUUUAACCAGAUGUCCUGCGUUUUUAGUUGCUAAAUCUGACAACCCUAGAUAGGGACAACUUAAGUAAAAUAUUUUCUUCCUCGGCAAGGGACAGAAAUCUGGCACCACCGCUAGCUCCAGAUCCAGAGUCAAAGCCUAGGGCUCCUGGUGCUGAGCCCCUGGGAGAAUUAGCAAAGCUUUCCGCCUUCUCCAGACCGGGCUGCGGGCACGCAGUACUGCGAGUUAUCACCACCAGAGGGCGAUAGAGGAGCCAGCGAGGAAAAGACCCCAACUCAUGCAUGCGUAGGGACGAAACGAGGGCUCACUCCCCAAAGGAGCACUACUAGGGUCGAGGGACAUUUCUUCCUCUUCUAAACUAAAUGAUGUUGAAGACACCUGAGAUUCAGUGUCAGCGAAGGGUGAGCCCAGGGUAGAAUGGUUAAGACUCAAAACCUGACAGGUGUUUCUUUUACAGUGAUUUAUUGCUUUGAUCGUUAAAAGUUGCAUAAAUGAAAUAGUCAAACCAUUCAGAAUUAAA